rnacentral:tRNA from 3 species
GGGGAGAUAGCGAAGUGGCUAAACGCGGCAGACUGUAAAUCUGCUCCUUAGGGUUCAGUGGUUCGAAUCCACUUCUCCCCACCA